UACGUAGGGGGCAAGCGUUGUCCGGAAUCAUUGGGCGUAAAGAGCGUGUAGGCGGCUCGGUAAGUCCGCUGUAAAAGUCCAGGGCUCAACCCUGGAAAGCCGGUGGAAACUGUCGAGCUAGAGUCCGGAAGAGGCGAGUGGAAUUCCUGGUGUAGCGGUGAAAUGCGUAGAUAUCGGGAGGAACACCUGUGGCGAAAGCGGCGCACUGGACCAUAACUGACGCUGAUGCGCGAAAGCCAGGGAGCAAACGGG
rnacentral:rRNA from 1 species